CCUACGGGAGGCAGCAGUGAGGAAUAUUGGUCAAUGGUCGGGAGACUGAACCAGCCAAGCCGCGUGAGGGAUGAAGGUACAGAGUAUCGUAAACCUCUUUUGUCAGGGAACAAAGGCGGGGACGCGUCCCCGGAUGAGUGUACCUGAAGAAAAAGCAUCGGCUAACUCCGUGCCAGCAGCCGCGGUAAUACGGAGGAUGCGAGCUGUAGCCGGAUUUAUUGGGUUUAAAGGGUGCGCAGGCGGUCUGUUAAGUCAGCGGUCAAAGCCCGGGGCUCAACCCCGGCCCGCCGUUGAAACUGGCAGUCUAGAGUUGGAGAGAAGUAUGCGGAAUGCGCGGUGUAGCGGUGAAAUGCAUAGAUAUCGCGCAGAACUCCGAUUGCGAAGGCAGCAUGCCGGCUCCACACUGACGCUGAGGCACGAAAGCGUGGGUAUCGAACAGGAUUAGAUACCCGAGUAGUC
rnacentral:rRNA from 1 species